AUGUCUUGUGUUAGAGCAGCUGCUAUUGCGGGAGGAGAGAGAGCAGCUCCCAGGCAACCCCCCCCUUCUGCAGCCCGAAGCAGCACCGCGGCCCUCGCUGACCCGCUGGGCCUUGGAGGGGUUUGGGCACCCUCUUCCCGGGGACCUGGGCGCUACCGUUGCAACCCGGAGCCAGGGCGCCCGCUGCUGCCACGGUCCUCCCGUGCCCGGAGACCGUCUGCAAGAGGGGCUGACGUGUUGUGUGUUGCGUUGCGGUGCGUGAUGUUGUCCCUCCAUGGGGUCCUGCAUCCCAGCGUGAAAGGGGCUGAGCACCAGGCCCAGCAGCUCCGGGCGGCUCCAAUGCACCCCAGGGCCCAUUUUGCUCCAGCAGCCCCGAGCUGGAUGCCGAGCGCUCCGUGGGGGCCUACGUCCAGCCGUGGCCUGGAGAAAAGCACCAGCUCUUACACUGUCCUUUGCCAAAUGGGUUCGCUUGCAAAUCCUUCUCCCCUGCCCGGGCAUCGGCUCGCACGGCGCCCGGUGACUCAACCGGCUGCAGUGCUCGGUGGGUGCCUUCCCCUCCCAGAUGUCUGGGCUCCCGCAGCCAGCAGUGAUGCUGCGUGGCCGCAGCCGGCGGGUGACGGGGCGGCGAGCAGUGGGGACCUGGUGGCUGCGCUGGCCGCGAGCUCUGCCCGUGCCUCGGUUUCCCCAGUUGUGACACAGCGUGUGUUUGCCCCUUCUGGUGCCUUGCGUGAGCUACCCUUCUGGGUCUGGAGCCUGAGCAGUGGGGAGCAGCCGGGCGGGCUGGGGUUUYGUGCCCUGCUGUGGGCGAUGGCUGGUGGGGCGGCUUGGAGGAACAACGCCGGUGGCUCAUGCAAACCGGGCUCUGCAUGGACCCAGACGGCCCUCGUCACCUGUGUGCACUCCAGGGCUGCUCACAGGCUCAGACUAUCCUUGGUCUCGUCUCUCUGUUGCUCUCAGAACAAAAUGCUCUGGGGGGGUUCCCAGGAUGCCCCGUUCUCAGGGUAUUUGGCUAUGGGAUGGUGCCUCUCCCCAGCCACACAAGGGGAUGCUGGAGAAGGGGGAUGUUUUGCAAUCCUGGCUCUGUCCCUGACUGCUGCCAGACCAUCCCCAUCCUCAUCCCCAUCCCCAUCCCAUCCCCAUCCCCAUCCCCAUCCCCUCUGUGCCCAGGCCUGCCCAGGGCUCAUCCCAAUCCACCAGCAGGGAUGGGAGCCCUUCUGCUGA
rnacentral:lncRNA from 1 species